rnacentral:rRNA from 1 species
GUCUCUUUUAUACAAUUUAUAAAGCUGUGAACACUAUCCAGCCAACCUGUGACCCCCCCCCGGCCAUCUGCCAAGGUCCAUUUUUUUCCACUGAAACAUCAUAUCAAAUACUUUUCCAAGACACAAAUUCCCUUCCUACCUCGAGCCUUUCUUUUGCAUUGAACAUGUAACAAAGUUUCCCUAGGUGAACCUCCCGGAAGGAUCACAAAAAAAACAUUGGGCCUCCGAGACCGUACUACAAACUUUUGAAGGUAAAAAAGCGUAACAAGGUUUCCGUAGGUGAACCUGCGGAAGGAUCAUUACCGAGUUGAUUCGAGCUCCGGCUCGACUCUCCCACCCUUUGUUUACCUACCUCUGUUGCUUUGGCGGUGCCGCCUUCGGGCGCCCGCCAGAGGACUUCAAAACUCCAGUCAGUGAACGUCUCAGUCUGAAAAACAAGUUAAUAAACUAAAACUUUCAACAACGGAUCUCUUGGUUCUGGCAUCGAUGAAGAACGCAGCGAAAUGCGAUAAGUAAUGUGAAUUGCAGAAUUCAGUGAAUCAUCGAAUCUUUGAACGCACAUUGCGCCCCUUGGUAUUCCGGGGGGCAUGCCUGUUCGAGCGUCAUUUCAACCCUCAAGCUCUGCUUGGUAUUGGGCUCCGUCCUCCUCGGACGCGCCUCAGAGACCUCGGCGGUGGCGUCUUGCCUCAAGCGUAGUAGAAACACCUCGCUUUGGAGUGCAUGGCGUCGCCCGCCGGACGAAACCUUUUGUAUUUUCUCAAAGGUUGACCUCGGAUCAUGUAGGGAUACCCGCUGAACUUAAGCAUACAAUAGGCAAGAAAACUUCGCCUUAGCAAGCUUCUCAUACAAAGCUUUCUUAACAUCUGACUGAACUCAGGCGGGAUUACCCACUGAAAUUUAGCUACUUAAGGGAGAAUAGAAAACCCCAUGUGUGAGAAGUAAAAUAAAGUACAU